AGAUUAGAGAGUGGGCACUGUAAUCUUUCUGACAUUGUAAACCUGAAGCUGGCUGCAGGGAAAAUAAACAUUACAACACCCGACACUUAAACAAUUGUACCUAUUCGGUUAAGUAACAAAAGCGUGAGGCACCUGGAAUCAGCAGCAUUUGUGCCUAAUGCCAGCAACAAUAUAAAGCAUUCAAGUGACAUUUGAUAAUGAGCAGACAGUGGAGGCAUUACACACGUCUUUAGAAGAAUCAGACUUCCUACCUUGAAAAGACAGAUGGAGGUUUCCACCACUGACCAAGGAUAUUGGACGAUUUUCAUCUCUUCCCUUCCCUCCGAUGACAUGAGGGUGUAUUGUUUUGGUCAUUCAAAGAGCUGAUCUUCACGACCUAGAUGAAAUCAGAUUGCUAUCCAGUGUAAUGAAUUCCCUAAAGAAUGGAAAGACACUUUUCCAGCAGAGAAAUCAGGAUAUCUUGCUUAAUAAAUUACUGCUAAAACUUGGAAAAAAUACAAAAAUGGCUGUAGAUCUUUGUGAAACAGGCCAAGUAUACUUUCAGUAUGUUACUCGAUAAUUUAUAAAGCAUGUUAAAUCACAUGUCAUACGCUGGGUAAAAUAAUGUGUAUUAUGUUAUUGUACUCAUUCUAGAUUUGCAUUGAAAAGAACAUAUUAUCAGCUUGAAUGUUGCAAAUAAACUAAAACGUAAGCCUUCAGGAUAGCUUGAGGAAUUUAUGUAGUUAGACAGCCUUGGAUUCUGAAUCUUUCUUUAGCCAUGUCCAGUCAUCAGAUAUCUAAAGGUUUGCUAUUGUUUUGUCCUUCACCUACAAAAAAAGAUGUGAUGAUGUGAUGAUGUUUAUCUGCAACUCUUAUAGCGGAUGGAAGAGUAGCAAAGAUCAAUAGGUUAAUACUUAUAAACCACAAUUCAGGUGACAAAAAGUCUGCAGAUGCAUAAAAUAAACAUUAUGCUAAUGAUAGACUAUUGAUCAUAAAAAAAUUACUCUGCUCCAGGGUAACACCUUUCUUUUUCUUUUGUUCUGUGGGUUGUACGUGUGUUAGUCUUAGAUAGAUAGUAAGUAAUAGUUAUAAUUAUCAUUUAAUAACCCCAAGACUGAUGUGAAGGCCAGAGGUCUCAAUAUUCUUUCUACAAGGAUUUUUUUUAUUACCAAAGUUGUAUACCUGAGACAUGAAUAAAUUAAAACCUUUCACACUUUGUCAGAUAAAGCAAAACGUAUACUAAGAUAACAAUAAACUCUGUUGUUCUAGCUUUUUGCUUAGGAAUCUACUAAAUAAAAUCAUUUUGA